UUUUCUGCAAAUUUGUAGACUUUGUUUUACGACCUUUAUCAUUUUUUUUAUGCAGCUUUUAAUUCAUAGUGGUUGUAUGCUGUAACAGUUGGUGGAAUUGAAAAACGGAGAAACUUACAAUGGGCAUUUGGUCAAUUGUGAUGCUUGGAUGAACAUCCAUCUCCGUUUAUCUUUAAUUUUCUUAAACCCUAAUAUCCUUGAUCUGUUUUAGAUUCCAAAAUUUCCCAUCCCUUUCCAUGCGUUCAUUUUAUGUUCUUGACACUGGCUUUUCUUGCAGGUUGCUUGAUUUUUCUUUUUUGCUCCAAAAAACAUGGUAACCAUCUUAACUGUCUUUGAUUUGAAAACUUUCUAUCUUUCUCCUGUUUUCUUUGACACUUUUAAUUUUAUUUUUCUUGUGUUAACUGCAACUUCCUCUUUCUUUCCUCAAGACUGCUCAGGCCACCCAAUGGUAAGAAAGAGAUGUCUGUUUUUCUUCUCGUGUCAUUUUACCUUAUGAAUCCAGAUUUUUGUGCAAAUUUGUAGACUUUGUUUUACGACCUUUAUCAUUUUUUUUAUGCAGCUUGUAAUUCAUGGUGGUUGUAUGAUGUAACAGUUGGUGGAAUUGAAAAACGGAGAGACUUACAAUAGGCAUUUGGUCAAUUGUGAUGCUUGGAUGAACAUCCAUCUCUUUUUAGCUUUAAUUUUCUUUAACUCUAAUAUCCUUAACUUGUUUUAGAUUUCAAAAUUUGCCAUCCCUUUCCAUGCGUUCAUUUUAUGUUCUUGACCCUGGCUUUUCUUGCAGGUUGCUCGAUUUUUAUUUUUGCUCUAAAAACCAUAGUAACCAUCUCAACUGUCUUUGAUUUGAAAUCUUUCUAUCUUUCUCCUGUUUUCUUUGACACUCUUAAUUUUAUUUUUCUUGUGUUAGCUACAGCUUCCUCUUUCUUUACUCAAGACUGCUCAAGGCCACCCAAUACUUGUAAUUCAUGGUGGUUGUAUGCUGUAAGGGUUGGUGGAAUUGAAAAAAUGAAAGACUUACAAUGGGCAUUUGGUCAAUUGUGAUGCUUGGAUGAACAUCCAUCUCCGUUUAUCUUUAAUUUUCUUUAACCCUAAUAUCCUUGAUCUGUUUUAGAUUCCAAAAUUUCCCGUCCCUUUCCAUGCGUUCAUUUUAUGUUCUUGACCCUAGUUUUUUUUGCAGGUUGCUUGAUUUUUCUUUUUGGCUCUAAAAAACAUGCUUCCUCUUUCUUUUCUUAGGACUGCUCAAGGCCACCCAAUGGUAAGAAAGAGAUCUCUGUUUUUCUUGUCGUGUCAUUUGACCAUAUGAAUCUAGAAUUUUCUGCAAAUUUGUAGACUUUGUUUUAUGAUCUUUUUCAAAUUUUUUUA